rnacentral:rRNA from 1 species
CCUACGGGUGGCAGCAGUGGGGAAUAUUGCACAAUGGGGGAAACCCUGAUGCAGCGACGCCGCGUGAGUGAAGAAGUAUUUCGGUAUGUAAAGCUCUAUCAGCAGGGAAGAAGAAAGACGGUACCUGACUAAGAAGCCCCGGCUAACUACGUGCCAGCAGCCGCGGUAAUACGUAGGGGGCAAGCGUUAUCCGGAUUUACUGGGUGUAAAGGGAGCGUAGACGGCUGUGCAAGUCUGAAGUGAAAGCCAAGGGCUCAACCCUGGGACUGCCUUGGAAACUGUGGAGCUAGAGUGCUGGAGAGGUAAGUGGAAUUCCUAGGGUAGCGGUGAAAGGCGUAGAUAUUAGGAGGAACACCAGUGGCGAAGGCGGCUUACUGGACAGUAACUGACGUUGAGGCUCGAAAGCGUGGGGAGCAAACAGGAUUAGAUACCCGAGUAGUC